rnacentral:rRNA from 1 species
CGUUCGGACUGGCUUGGAGAGGUUGGCAACGACCACUCUGAGCCGGAAAGUUCGUCAAACUCGGUCAUUUAGAGGAAGUAAAAGUCGUAACAAGGUUUCCGUAGGUGAACCUGCGGAAGGAUCAUUACCUAGAGUUGUAGGCUUUGCCUGCUAUCUCUUACCCAUGUCUUUUGAGUACCUUAUGUUUCCUCGGCGGGUCCGCCCGCCGAUUGGACACUUUAAACCAUUUGCAGUUGCAAUCAGCGUCUGAAAAAACUUAAUAGUUACAACUUUCAACAACGGAUCUCUUGGUUCUGGCAUCGAUGAAGAACGCAGCGAAAUGCGAUAAGUAGUGUGAAUUGCAGAAUUCAAUGAAUCAUCGAAUCUUUGAACGCACAUUGCGCCCUUUGGUAUUCCUUAGGGCAUGCCUGUUCGAGCGUCAUUUGGAAACUCAAGCUCAGCUUGGUGUUGGGUGUCUGUCUCCGCCCCGCGGGGACUCGCCUCAAAAGCAUUGGCGGCCGGUACGUUGGCUUCGAGCGCAGCAGAAACGCGAACUCGGGGCCUGGCGGAUCGGCGACCAGAAGUAUCUUCUUUACAGCUUGACCUCGGAUCAGGUAGGGAUACCCGCUGAACUUAAGCAUAUCAAUAAGCGGAGGAAAAGAAACCAACAGGGAUUGCCCUAGUAACGGCGAGUGAAGCGGCAAGAGCUCAAAUUUGAAGUCUGGCCCCCCCGGGGUCCGAGUUGUAAUUUGGAGAGGAUGCUUCGGGCUCGGUCCCCAUCUAAGUGCCCCUGGAACGGGCUGU